GACGAACGCUAGCGGCGUGCUUAACACAUGCAAGUCGAGCGGUAAGGCCCUUUCGGGGGUACACGAGCGGCGAACGGGUGAGUAACACGUGGGUGACCUGCCCUUAGCUCUGGGAUAAGCCUGGGAAACUGGGUCUAAUACCGGAUAUGACUCCAUGACGCAUGUUGUGGGGUGGAAAGCCUUGUGCGGCUAGGGAUGGGCCCGCGGCCUAUCAGCUUGUUGGUGGGGUGAUGGCCUACCAAGGCGACGACGGGUAGCCGGCCUGAGAGGGCGACCGGCCACACUGGGACUGAGACACGGCCCAGACUCCUACGGGAGGCAGCAGUGGGGAAUCUUGCGCAAUGGGCGAAAGCCUGACGCAGCGACGCCGCGUGGGGAUGACGGCCUCGGUUGUAA
rnacentral:rRNA from 1 species